UCGGGAAUUUUGGGCAAUGGGCGAAAGCCUGACCCAGCAACGCCGCGUGAAGGAUGAAGUCUUUCAGGAUGUAAACUUCGUAAAAAUAGGAAGAAUAAAUGACGGUACUAUUUGUAAGGUCCGGCUAACUACGUGCCAGCAGCCGCGGUAAUACGUAGGGACCAAGCGUUGUUCGGAUUUACUGGGCGUAAAGGGCGCGUAGGCGGCGUGGUAAGUCACUUGUGAAAUCUCCGAGCUUAACUCGGAACGGUCAAGUGAUACUGCUGUGCUAGAGUACAGAAGGGGCAAUCGGAAUUCUUGGUGUAGCGGUGAAAUGCGUAGAUAUCAAGAGGAACACCUGAGGUGAAGACGGGUUGCUGGGCUGACACUGACGCUGAGGCGCGAAAGCCAGGGGAGCAAACGGGAUUAGAUACCCAGGUAGUCCCUGAGCGGGCUGGCAAGGCGCAU
rnacentral:rRNA from 1 species